AGUGGGCCACAGACCACAAUUAAUUCCUCUAUUAGUUCUUUAUAACUUUUUGUCUCAUUAAAAAAAAUGUACCUAAUCUUUUUGUCAAAUUUUUUGUGUGUGUAAUGUAUAGUACUAGUCCAAAAACAUAUCCAAAAUUCAGAAAGAUUGCUCUGAUGUAACUUACAAAUUUAGCCAAUACACAUCCAUACCCCUAUGGACAAGUCAAGAGAUGUUCCGAAAACUGUAAAUAUUACCUUUUUGCACUUGACCUAAUCACUCUUUCCAUAUUAAAAUCAGUUAAAAUACCUUCAACAAAAAGUUAUUUCACCUCUCUUCUUUCAUUUCCACCCCAGAAAAACAAACAAAUGAAUGAAAAAGGCAAAGAAAAAAAAUAAAGAAAAAAUACACUUUAAUUAAAGGGAACUAUAUUCGUGAACAACGAAAAGUAGGGUCAUUAAUUGUGGUCUUGGGCCUAUUAGACCCUUAAACUUCAAUAUAAUACCCCAAAAAAUGGCACGCAUUAAGCUUAUUCUAUAUCGAACUAGCAUACCAAAUAUCAAAUCAAUCCGACAAGAAAUAUUGCAGUUCUGAUAGUUUUAAUAACACUACCCUCAUGUUGAUAAUUCUAGGUAUUUUCUGGCAUGAAACUUUUAAAACAUGUAACUACUAGGAAA
rnacentral:lncRNA from 1 species